UCCAGACUCCUACGGGAGGCAGCAGUGGGGAAUAUUGCACAAUGGGGGAAACCCUGAUGCAGCGACGCCGCGUGAGCGAUGAAGUAUCUCGGUAUGUAAAGCUCUCUCAGCAGGGAAGAAAGUGACAGUACCUGACUAAGAAGCCCCGGCUAACUACGUGCCAGCAGCCGCGGUAAUACGUAGGGGGCAAGCGUUAUCCGGAUUUACUGGGUGUAAAGGGAGCGUAGACGGUGAAGCAAGUCUGAAGUGAAAGGCGGGGGCUCAACCCCCGGACUGCUUUGGAAACUGUUUGACUGGAGUGCAGGAGAGGUAAGUGGAAUUCCUAGUGUAGCGGUGAAAUGCGUAGAUAUUAGGAGGAACACCAGUGGCGAAGGCGGCCUGCUGGGCUUUAACUGACGCUGAGGCUCGAAAGCGUGGGUAGCAAACAGGAUUAGAUACCCUGGUAA
rnacentral:rRNA from 1 species